rnacentral:rRNA from 1 species
UAUGUGAUCGUCUCUCGCAUAUCAAUAAGCGGAGGAAAAGAAACCAACCGGGAUUGCCUUAGUAACGGCGAGUGAAGCGGCAAAAGCUCAAAUUUGAAAUCUGGUACCUUCGGUGCCCGAGUUGUAAUUUGGAGAGGGCAACUUUGGGGCCGUUCCUUGUCUAUGUUCCUUGGAACAGGACGUCAUAGAGGGUGAGAAUCCCGUGUGGCGAGGAGUGCGGUUCUUUGUAAAGUGCCUUCGAAGAGUCGAGUUGUUUGGGAAUGCAGUCCAAAAUGGGUGGUAAAUUUCAUCUAAAGCUAAAUAUUGGCGAGAGACCGAUAGCGAACAAGUACCGUGAGGGAAAGAUGAAAAGAACUUUGAAAAGAGAGUUAAACAGUACGUGAAAUUGUCAAAAGGGAAGCGUUUGACACCAGUGUUGUUUUUCUGAAAAUCAAUUAAAGAACUGUUUAUGCUAAGCUUGUUUAGACUUUAUCAGCUAUCUGUUUAGUUUUGAGCUUUUCUUUAAUGCACUUUUCAGUUAACAAGUCAACAUCAAUUUCUUUUGCUGUAAAAAAGCUUGAGGAAGGUGGCUUGAGAUUCGUCUUAAGUGUUUAUAGCCUCUUGCCUAUGCAGUCGGAGAGAUUGAGGUCUGCAGCGUAGAUCCUUCGGGGCUAAAUGCAUUUGUGCUAAGUUAUAGCAUUUUAUAGACAACUUGUUGACUAUGAUUUGUCUUGUAGCUUACUCGCUUAUGUUAUUUUACCUACGCUUAGGAUGUUGACGCGCGUGUGUGCGUG